GCCGGGCGCGGUGGCUCAAGCCUGUAAUCCCAGAGCUCUGGGAGGCCGAGGCGGGUGGAUCGUUUGAGGUCAGGAGUUCGAGACUAGCCUGGUCAACAUGGUGAACCCCCGUCUCCACUAAAAAUACAAAAAAAUUAGCUGGGUGUGGUGGCACACACUUNNNNNNNNNNAAGUGUGUGCCACCACACCCAGCUAAUUUUUUUGUAUUUUUAGUGGAGACGGGGGUUCACCAUGUUGACCAGGCUAGUCUCGAACUCCUGACCUCAAACGAUCCACCCGCCUCGG
rfam:Chlorocebus sabaeus isolate 1994-021 chromosome 12, whole genome shotgun sequence.